GACGAACGCUGGCGGCGUGCUUAACACAUGCAAGUCGAACGGAAAGGCCCUGCUUUUGUGGGGUGCUCGAGUGGCGAACGGGUGAGUAACACGUGAGUAACCUGCCCUUGACUUUGGGAUAACUUCAGGAAACUGGGGCUAAUACCGGAUAGGAGCUCCUGCUGCAUGGUGGGGGUUGGAAAGUUUCGGCGGUUGGGGAUGGACUCGCGGGUUAUCAGCUUGUUGGUGGGGUAGUGGCUUACCAAGGCUUUGACGGGUAGCCGGCCUGGGAGGGUGACCGGCCACAAUGGGACUGAGGUACGGCCCAGACUCCUACGGGAGGCAGCAGUGGGGAAUAUUGCACAAUGGGCGGAAGCCUGAUGCAGCAACGCCGCGUGCGGGAUGACGGCCUUCGGGUUGUAAACCGCUUUCGCCUGUGACGAAGCGUGAGUGACGGUAAUGGGUAAAGAAGCACCGGCUAACUACGUG
rnacentral:rRNA from 1 species